UGGGCCAGUCACAAGUCUCAAUUCUUCCGUUUCCCACACAUUGCAAUUUGCAAGUCCAGCCCAAUUACAGAGCCAUCUUGUUUCACGAAUUCCCGCCAAUUGCGACACUUUCACAGUUCUCAGUUUCUCACUCAGCUUUCACACCCUAAGCAACUCCGAUACUUUUUUUUAAUUAAAUCAAUAAAUUCAAAUCUUUUGAUUUUCAGGCAUUGUGAGUGAGUUGCUUGAAGGCAAGGUGAUGUUGAUUUUUCAAUGACAGUCUAAUUCAUCCCCAUUACUAUGGGAAUGAGUUCUUGUUAUCAAGAUUAGGAGUUUGUUCUUCAGACAUUUAGGUUUGGUUUGCCCAUUGCCCAUGAAGUUACUGUUACAUUUACUCAAGGAAGCUGGGAGUUCUUUUUGCAACUUUCAUAGUAGGUACUAGGUAGAAAUCCUCGGAUGAACUCAUGAACUGAGAGGAAGGGCGAAGGAUUGAAAGAAGUGUUCUGCACAAGGCCGACUCCAAGGGACUAUGUCCAUAAAAAAAUCAGUUUGAAAAGUGAUGUUUGAGGAAUAUCACAGAAGUGUAAAGAAUGUUACAGGGAGGAAGAGUAUUGUCACAUAUCCUCUUUGGCUGGUAAAAUAAUAAAAUUGGAGCAAGUGUUGUAGAACUGGUAGAAUAGUACGAUCCACGCUUGGAUAAUAAAAACUAAAUUCUGAAAAGAGUUGUAAGCUUAAUAAUGAACACAGACAAAGAGUAUCGGAGUAUGGGCUAACAGUGUAUUCGAGUCAUAUAAUUGAUGUUGUUAUUAUAUUCGUAGCUGUAUUAGAGUAAGGCAACAUACAAUGGAAUAAGACAUUUUAGUUAAUUAUAAUUAUCUUUCCCUAAGGUCUAAAACUGAUAUGACUUUAGUGCCAUGACGCACCCUAAGGCUAAUGCACCUACUAUAUCUAAUCCUAAUUGAGUAAUUGCAUAUGGCUUUUACAAUAGCUGAAGUCAUAGGGGUCGGUUCAUGGUGCUACUAUAGAAUUAUUUUGUCGCGCAAACUUUGAUCUUUUACAUGUUCUGAAACAGACUUGUUCUAGUGAGUGUCCUACUCAACAACUUUUGUAGUCCCAACCCUAUUCCCCGAAUUGAAGCAACUGUUGUUCUUCUUCUUAGCUUUGAAGCCUUUGGUUGAGUCCAGCAAGAGUAUUGCAUGGUGGUCCUAGACUUAGUUUACAGAAAAGGGUCGCUAGCAAGAAGUACAUUAUAUUGGUUUAAGGAUAUACUCGCCCAUGUAACUAUCUAAGCGGGAGUAUAUAUGUGUGGAAAGAUAACACAAUUCUAUACACUAGAAUGUACUAGCUUACUACUUGCUAGUUUUGUCAUCUUUUCUGUAUUCUUAUCUCUGGUUUGUUGCUUAACUAGUUAGACUUUGGACAUUGUCGUGUACAUGUAUAUUAGUAAGACUCAUAAUAGGUAAGAAACAAGUCUUCACAAUGAAGUCAGUAUGUGUACUAAUCUUGUUCUAGUUUAUCAACAAUAUCAAGAAUUUUGUUUGAAGGACA